UACAGAAUGAAAGUCUUUUUUCAGUAUUAAAAAGAAGACUUCAAGCUGGGUGUGGUGGUACACACCUAGAAUCUCAGAACUCAGGAGGCUGAGGCAGGAGGAUCAUGAGUUUGAAGGAAGCCUGGACUACAUAGAGGUCAAGGAUGACCUGGACUACAUAGCAAGACCCUGUUUCAGAAAGAAGAGAAGAGAGCAAAGGAGGGAAACUUCCAUGAAUGUCUCUUGUAUUUGAGAAUCAGACUCUUGGAUCCUCUUGGAACUUGUUUUCCCCUUAUAGCUUGCUUCUUAGGGUGAUGUUUGCUGAAAGCUGUAUUUGUCUCAUGUCUCCUGAUAAGAGUUGGUUCCAUCUGGUUCUCUUGCAACUGGAGUAAAGCUUGGUCUGCACGCUUUUAUUUCAGAUAAUGAAACCAAAACUGGAUAAUGCUGUUAGAAAAAAGAAUAAACAAGAAAAACUUUUCAAGUUGGAAAUAAAACAACUGGAAAACAAAGCCAAGAAUCUGGAGCGCCAGGUUUGCUUUGGAGUCCUGCAGCGGCGGUAUCCGUGCUGGCGGGAAGCGCUGGUCUCGCAGCGGGCUCCUCCCUGCGCCUGUGCCAGCUGCUCCUCGGGAGCAAAUGGUGGCGAAUGGUCCUUCUGAUCAACGCUAGUCAGUCCCCUUAUUUUGUGGCCAUAUGAAGACUGAAAACUGUUCCAGGCCUGGUUUUCCCUGGCCGGAAGUAAGGAAAUGCCUAAUUUGGCCCUGAGAUAUUUAAGAAGGUUUACUAGAGGCACUGGAGCUUCUUCCUUGAAAUCAAAAUCCUCUUAGAAGUGCAGCAGAAGUGACCUCAGGUUAGUAUCUAUGUGUCCAGGUUUGUUGGUUGAAAGUAACCGGGUGGGCUGAGUUGCACUCUAAAGUGAGGAAAAACAUACUAGUGUUUCUGUUCUGAAUGCUAGAAGGCGGUUCCCCGAAGCCUGUUUCAGAAUGGAUUAUUGCCUACUGGGUUCAAGAAUACUUACCUCUGCUAAAUAGGCAAUCCCAAGGGCCAGACUUCAUCAUUGAUCAGACCAUGUCAGGAAUGCAAGCUGGGCGUGGUGGCACAUGCCUAUAAGCCCAGCACUCAGGAGGCUGAGGCAGGAGGAUUGUUGUGAGUUCAAGACCAGCCUGGGCUACAAAGUGAGUUCAAGAUCAGCCUGAACUGCACCGCGAGACCCUGUCUCAAAAAGACUCACCCCCCGCAAAAAAGGAAUGCAGUUGCCUCCCUGUGCUGAGACAGACAUCUUUAGUGGCAAAUUAUAUUGGCUGUGUUUUAUUGUAUCAGUUGAGCUGAUACAAUAAAUACUGAUUUUUGAUCACAAAUGCAAAAUAAAUGAUUUGUGCUGCACCCCCUACCUAAACUGAAGAGCUGGAAUGACUAGAACGUCU
rnacentral:lncRNA from 1 species